rnacentral:rRNA from 1 species
UACGGGGGGGGCAAGCGUUGUUCGGAAUUACUGGGCGUAAAGGGCUCGUAGGCGGCCCACUAAGUCCGACGUGAAAUCCCCAGGCUUAACUUGGGAACUGCGUCGGAUACUGGUGGGCUUGAAUCCGGGAGAGGGAUGCGGAAUUCCUGGUGUAGCGGUGAAAUGCGCAGAUAUCAGGAGGAACACCGAUGGCGAAGGCAGGUCUCUGGGCAUUAACUGACGCUGAGGAGCGAAAGCAUGGGGAGCGAACAGG